rnacentral:rRNA from 1 species
UUAAUGUUUGAUGUUCUAACGUUGACCCGUGAUCCGGGUUGCGGACAGUGUCUGGUGGGUAGUUUGACUGGGGCGGUCUCCUCCUAAAGAGUAACGGAGGAGCACGAAGGUUGGCUAAUCCUGGUCGGACAUCAGGAGGUUAGUGCAAUGGCAUAAGCCAGCUUGACUGCGAGCGUGACGGCGCGAGCAGGUGCGAAAGCAGGUCAUAGUGAUCCGGUGGUUCUGAAUGGAAGGGCCAUCGCUCAACGGAUAAAAGGUACUCCGGGGAUAACAGGCUGAUACCGCCCAAGAGUUCAUAUCGACGGCGGUGUUUGGCACCUCGAUGUCGGCUCAUCACAUCCUGGGGCUGAAGUAGGUCCCAAGGGUAUGGCUGUUCGCCAUUUAAAGUGGUACGCGAGCUGGGUUUAGAACGUCGUGAGACAGUUCGGUCCCUA